rnacentral:rRNA from 1 species
ACUUGAAUUGAAGAGUUUGAUCAUGGCUCAGAUUGAACGCUGGCGGCAGGCUUAACACAUGCAAGUCGAACGGUAGCAGGAGAAAGCUUGCUUUCUUGCUGACGAGUGGCGGACGGGUGAGUAAUGCUUGGGAAUCUGGCUUAUGGAGGGGGAUAACUACGGGAAACUGUAGCUAAUACCGCGUAGAAUCGGAAGAUGAAAGUGCGGGACU